rnacentral:misc_RNA from 1 species
AUACUUAAAAUGUAUUUCUUUCCUGGUCAGAGGACUUCCAGUCACAUACAAAUUCAUGGAGCACCACAUGUUUACAAGGUAUGUGUAGUAUCAAGCAGCUUCUUUGAAAUUGUGAUGCCACAGGGAAAGCCUGUGUGCAUAUGAUAGCUUAACCAGCACACUGAUAUUUUCUGCAUUUUUAUUAGUAAUAUAAUAUUGGACAUAAGACAGGCAUUACCCAAAUGUUAA